rnacentral:rRNA from 1 species
GACGAACGCUGGCGGCGUGCUUAACACAUGCAAGUCGAGCGGUAAGGCCCUUUCGGGGGUACGACGAGCGGCGAACGGGUGAGUAACACGUGGGUGACCUGCCCUCCAGCUCUGGGAGUAAAGCCCGGGAAACCGUAGGGUCGUAAUAACCGGAUAUGACUCCACGGUGCAUGUCGUGGGGUGGAAAGCCUUGUGCGACUGAGGAUGGGCCCGCGGCCUAUCAGCUUGUUGGUGGGGUGAGGCCUACCAAGGCGACGACGGGUAGCCGGCCUGAGAGGGCGACCGGCCACACUGGG